rnacentral:rRNA from 1 species
UACGUAGGGGUCUAGCGUUGUCCGGAAUUAUUGGGCGUAAAGAGCUCGUAGGCGGUUCGGCAAGUCGGAUGUGAAAUCUCCACGCUUAACGUGGAGGGGCCAUUCGAAACUGCCGUGACUCGAGUCCGGUAGGGGAGUGCGGAAUUCCCGGUGUAGCGGUGAAAUGCGUAGAUAUCGGAAGGAACACCAGUGGCGAAAGCGGCUUCCUGGUCCAGCACCGACGUUCAGGCACGAAAGCGUGGGGAGCAAACAGG